rnacentral:snRNA from 1 species
GUGCUCGCUUCGGCAGCACAUUAUACUAAAACUGGAAGGAUACAGAAAAGAUUAGCAUGGCCCCCUGUGCAAGGAUGACAUGCAAAUUCGUGAAGCGUUCCAUAUUUUU